GGAAGCUGUGAGGAAAGGUGUGGCUGUGGAAAGCUGGUCAUGAGAAGCUGCCGUACUGAUUUUUAUGUGUUUUGCACAGAGUAAUGCGGUAGCAGCUCAUUCGUUUUCUGGACGCUGUGAGGAAAGGUGUGGCUGUGGAAAGCUGGUCAUGAGAAGUUGCUGUACUGAUUUUUAUGUGUUUUGCACAGAGAAUAAAUCCUCCCGGUUAGCAAGGCA